CCUGGCUUAGGACGAACGGCUGGCGGCGUGCCUAAUACAUGCAAGUCGAACGGCUUUUCUAUGGAAGCUUGCUUCCACUGAGAAGAUAGUGGCGAACGGGUGAGUAACACGUGGGUAACCUGCCCAUAAGAGGGGGGAUAACAUCCGGAAACGGGUGCUAAUACCGCAUAGUUUUCUUGAUUGCAUGAUUGAGAAAGGAAAGACGGCCUUUGUGCUGUCGCUUAUGGAUGGACCCGCGGCGUAUUAGUUAGUUGGUGAGGUAACGGCUCACCAAGACGAUGAUACGUAGCCGACCUGAGAGGGUGAUCGGCCACAUUGGGACUGAGACACGGCCCAAACUCCUACGGGAGGCAGCAGUAGGGAAUCUUCCGCAAUGGACGAAAGUCUGACGGAGCAACGCCGCGUGAGUGAAGAAAGGUUUUCGGAUCGUAAAACUCUGUUGUCAGGGAAGAACAGGUUGGAGAGUAACUGCUCCAGCCUUGACGGUAUCUGACCAGAAAGCCACGGCUAACUACGUGCCAGCAGCUGC
rnacentral:rRNA from 1 species